rnacentral:rRNA from 1 species
AUACGGGGGGUGCAAGCGUUGUUCGGAAUCAUUGGGCGUAAAGGGCGCGUAGGCGGCUAGAUAAGUCAGAUGUGAAAUCCCUGGGCUUAACCCAGGAAGUGCAUUUGAAACUGUUUGGCUUGAGUAGGGGAGAGGAAAGUGGAAUUCCUGGUGUAGAGGUGAAAUUCGUAGAUAUCAGGAGGAACACCGGUGGCGAAGGCGACUUUCUGGCCCUAUACUGACGCUGAGGCGCGAAAGCGUGGGUAGC